GACGAACGCUGGCGGCGUGCCUAAUACAUGCAAGUAGAACGCUGAAGAGAGGAGCUUGCUCUUCUUGGAUGAGUUGCGAACGGGUGAGUAACGCGUAGGUAACCUGCCUUGUAGCGGGGGAUAACUAUUGGAAACGAUAGCUAAUACCGCAUAACAAUGGAUGACACAUGUCAUUUAUUUGAAAGGGGCAAUUGCUCCACUACAAGAUGGACCUGCGUUGUAUUAGCUAGUAGGUGAGGUAAUGGCUCACCUAGGCGACGAUACAUAGCCGACCUGAGAGGGGGAUGGGAAAAGAGGGAACUGAGACACGGUCAGGACUCCGAGGGGAGGCAGAAGUGGGGAAGCUUCCGGAAUGGGCGAAAGCGUACCGGAGCAAGGACGGGUGAGUGAGGAAGGUCUUGGGAGCGUAAAACUGGGUGAGGAGGGAAGAACAAAGGGGGAAGGAACUAUGCACGUCGUGACGGUAGCUAAUCAGAAAGGCACGGCUAACUACGUG
rnacentral:rRNA from 1 species